rnacentral:rRNA from 1 species
AUUGAACGCUGGCGGCAUGCCUUACACAUGCAAGUCGAACGGCAGCACGGGAGCAAUCCUGGUGGCGAGUGGCGAACGGGUGAGUAAUAUAUCGGAACGUGCCCAGUCGUGGGGGAUAACGUAGCGAAAGCUACGCUAAUACCGCAUACGAUCUAUGGAUGAAAGCGGGGGAUCGCAAGGACCUCGCGCGAUUGGAGCGGCCGAUAUCAGAUUAGGUAGUUGGUGAGGUAAAGGCUCGCCAAGCCGACGAUCUGUAGCUGGUCUGAGAGGACGACAGCCACACUGGACUGAGACACGGCCCAG